AGACCCGAAACCCGGUGAUCUAGCCAUGGGCAGGUUGAAGGUUGGGUAACACUAACUGGAGGACCGAACCGACUAAUGUUGAAAAAUUAGCGGAUGACCUGUGGCUGGGGGUGAAAGGCCAAUCAAACCGGGAGAUAGCUGGUUCUCCCCGAAAGCUAUUUAGGUAGCGCCUCGUGAAUUCAUCUCCGGGGGUAGAGCACUGUUUCGGCUAGGGGGCCAUCCCGGCUUACCAACCCGAUGCAAACUGCGAAUACCGGAGAAUGUUAUCACGGGAGACACACGGCGGGUGCUAACGUCCGUCGUGAAGAGGGAAACAACCCAGACCGCCAGCUAAGGUCCCAAAGUCAUGGUUAAGUGGGAAACGAUGUGGGAAGGCCCAGACAGCCAGGAUGUUGGCUUAGAAGCAGCCAUCAUUUAAAGAAAGCGUAAUAGCUCACUGGUCGAGUCGGCCUGCGCGGAAGAUGUAACGGGGCUAAACCAUGCACCGAAGCUGCGGCAGCGAACGUAUCACUUAAAGCGAUUCAGCGGGUUACGAUUGACGGAGCGAAGCGACGUCAAAGCGUAUACAAAGUCGAGUCGGUUUAAGGAUACGUUCGUUGGGUAGGGGAGCGUUCUGUAAGCCUGUGAAGGUGUGUCGUGAGGCAUGCUGGAGGUAUCAGAAGUGCGAAUGCUGACAUAAGUAACGAUAAAGCGGGUGAAAAGC
rnacentral:rRNA from 1 species